AUCGCAUGAUUGUCACUUUUUUUAUAUAUUGUUAUCUUGCCAGUCAAGCGAAAGAAACUAAAGAUUAGUUGAACGUCUUAGUAACAUACUGAGUCAAUAGACAAACUAAAUAACAAAAAGCACAACAACAUAAUAUACCAAUAAAUGCCUUGGAUUUACAUUAAUAAAUUUAAUUUAAAGAAACCACAUAUCUUAAACUAUGGUAUUGGAUGCCAUCAAGUUAUUAACUUAACAAUGAAGAUGUUCAAGAGGCUGCAAUAAAUCACUGUUAUCUGUGGUCACGUCCCCAACAGCCAAGCUGGCUAUCAUAAGCAGUGGUAGCGCAGUGUCUUUAACACGGCUUUUAGACAAUAAUUCGUCACCAAAUCUGCACAAAAAAACAUAUUACCUAUCAUGCUUGUUUGUAAAGUGCAGACUCCGUAAAUAAAUUUUCUCCAGACAAAUGUUUCUUAUCCUCAUUGAGACCACAAUUCAGUAACAUUACGUAAUUUCCUGCAACUUACCACAUUUAGUGGAUUCCGUAUUUAUUUAUUUUUGCCAAUUUUGUGAUUUCGGUGAACAUAUAUGAGGCCCUCAAACAGCACGUGACAUCAAACAUACAUUUUUCUGCCUUCAGCUACAUGUUCUGUCAUUUUGUUCAUAUAUAUAUAUAUAUUUGUUUACUGGAGGUGCAGCAAAACAGGUAACUCAAGGUAUAGUUUGUAUCUCAAUUUUAGGGCUACAGUUUCGGUUAGUUUUCAGUACGAUUUGUGAGUGUAAAAAGAAAAAUGUUUUACCUCUCAAAGUUCUUUCAUUAUUUUGCUUGUCAUCAAAAACGACAUUCUGCAGUAAACAAAGAAUCAAUGUUGUACUAAAUAGGCCGGGACGGGACACGGGUAUUACAUUUAAUACCGGUAUAUUUUAAAAUGGAGAUACAUAUUUGAGACAUUACUGUCAUUUCUUUUGAUGUGCCUUAAUUAUGGCCGUUUACUCUUCUCUGCACCUGAUGAGCAGGGCAAGGGAAUUCUAUUUGGCUCAACCCUUGCCCCUUGUGUGUUUAGGUAGGCUUCUCUAAACUUUUUAAAAGACUAUGGCGGCUCCGGUGCCGAUUUCUUGACUCCAGAGUAAUGCAAUACUUUAUUCACUGCAUUUGGCUAUUGGUGAGUGACUACACCUUUAUUUAAAUAAACAUACACCGUUUUACUCGAGAACCUAUAUCCCUCCUGGUAGCGACUUUAUCACUAAUCUCAUCUGUUUAUGUUGUUCAAUUAUGUUUGUGCCUUAGCACAGCAGCUAGUGAUAGCUACUUUAUGCUGCGAAGUGUGUCAAAAGUUUAGCUACUCCUCCUGCCUGUACUCAUAGUCCGUGCAGACUAACCAAGUGCAGCAGCUGAUUGUGCUGAAAAUUUAAAUUUCCCCUCGGGGAUUAAUAAAGUAUGUCGGGUUCUGAUUCUGAUUUUACUUAAUGAGUAAACAACAUGUUACGUUACUACUUACAACAAAAGUGAUGGGAGUCCUCUGAACACUAGUUAUCUAGCCAUAAAACGCCUAAGCAACCUUAAGCACUCGUCACGUUUUGUUUAAGAUACCGUUGUACAGUAUAACGUAUAUCACCAUUUGGCCUGAAAAUACCGCAAUAUCAGUUUUGGUCCAUAUCGCCCAGCCCUCACACUGAAUACUAAAAGACUUUUAUUUCAAAUUAACAUUUACAAAUAAACACUUACAAAUGGUAUAUUAUAUUUCUAUUCCAAAAUGAUUUUUAUCUACAAACUCAAAAUGUAUUUGCACAAAAAGUGGCUAUAGUUUUUAGUUUUUUUUAGUACAUAGCAUAUCUGAGGAGUUAACUGACAGCAAACACAAACAAAAAAUGUGAUUAAAAAAAAAAAUCCUGAAAUAAUUCAGUAGGUAAGUUUGUUCUCAGUCGGAUCAAUAGUUCAGUCACAAAGACAUCCUGUGCCUGCCUGUGAGUCAGCAUUGAGGGCAGGAUUACCACACCCACCAAAAUGUGAGCUCCAGUGAGACUAAAGUCUGUCGCUGAAGUAGCUGCUCCUUCUAAAUGUUGUGUUUCAACUUCUAUGCCAGUGUUGGCCAUAUUUCUUUGUUUUUGUUCUUCUUCUGAAGAAAAAAAACAGUGACUGGACAUUAAUCACAACAGUGACAGGACAUUAAUUACAUCAUGAGCCUUACUUUCUUCACGGUGGACAGGCACACUCGUGCUCAUACACAAACACACACAGGAAUUCAGCCCAUGAGGGUGAAUUGUCCCGUGCAGAAUUGUACAGAGUAUGGUUGCAUCCCUACUAUUUACAUUUUCUUCAUAUUUGAUUGAGUUAAUGUAUGCUAAUAACUGAUCACGGUGAUCGACCAGAAAAUAAUCCUGAUCAUACAUUUUGCCCAGCCCUGACUUGAACCUGUGCAUGUCCAAGUACACCACCAUGAAAACCCCAUGUUUUUAUUUCAUCCAUUUUCAGCCACCUGAAAUGCCAGCAUCGCUACGAAAGCCUGUGAAGACGCCUGCACUAUUAAUGAAGCUGUCCCAAAGGAAGGGGUGCACAUAUAUAUAUGUAUUAAGAUACAAGACGAAGGGUUUCUCUCCGGUGUGCAGCCGCUGGUGCGUCUUCAGCUGACCACUCUGGACAAACGCCUUUCCGCAGUUUGGAUAGUCGCACAAAUAUGGUCGCUCGCCUAGGAGAUAGUAGCAACACACGUCCUUCAGUGUCGAGGAGGAAAAUCAGGCUUCACAUGAAACGACUUUUCUCUGGGGAACACCCGGUGGCAGAUGUUACAGCGGAUGCGGCUGGAGGACGUUUCACCUUCAUUGAUCAACUCUCGGACGGUCUCAGCUCUUGGACGGCCUCUCCGGAUGCCGUCCUGAAGACGACGACAACAACAACAAACACAGUUGUCUUGAGGCCAGUGUCCGAGGGAAGUCACGGCAGAUACAAGGACGGCGCAAAAUCCGCAGAUCUCCGGUAAGAGGCGACUUUUUAACACAAUUUUCUCACUAAAACCUGCAGGUUGACAAGUGGUCGGGAUCCAUGUUCGCUUGACCGCUCUGAUCCAUAGUAAAGCUUCACCUCCGGGAAUUUUAAACAAGGAAUCACCUUGUGUUUGUGUGGCUAAAGGCUAAAGCUUUCCGACUCCAUCUUUCUACUUUGACUUCUCCAUUAUUAAUUGAACAAAUUGCAAAAGACUCAGCAACACAGAUGUCCAGAAUAAUGUUUAAUUGCGCAAUGAAAAGAGACGACUUUUAGCCACAAAUAGUGCUGCGCCAAUGUUUCCUGACAGUCCGUGACGUCACUCGCACGCGUCAUCAUUCCGCGACGUUUUCAACAAGAAACACCCGGGAAUUUAAAAUUGCAAUUUAGUAUACUAAACCGGCCGUAUCGGCAUGUGUUGCAAUGUUAAUAUUUCAUCAUUGAUGUAAAAACUAUCAGACUGCGUGGUCUGUAACAGUGGGAUUCAGUCGGCCUUUCAAACUAAAGAAACUGCUGUUCUAAAUGUGUCCACUGGGUGUUGCAAUAGCUUUUCUAGUAUGCAAGGAAAAUGGGUUAUACUGGGACGAGCACGGUAAAUGCUGCAUUUGACACUAUACACAUUGAUAUAGUUCUGUAAAAAUAAUAUUGUCGUCUUCGCAAAAUUUAAAGAAAUUGAACAGUGGAAUUGACAAAUGAGGUAGUUGAUACACAGAAGUGUUUCAAUUUAUGCAUUAUUUGGUUUCUGUUCAAUCCUAGCUGUGCUGUGACUUAAAGUUGAAUUGCUUUGUAUAAACACUGAAAAUAAGUCUUAAUUCAUUGUGUUAGUCAUGGUGUUUUUUAAACUGCAAAAUUGUUUUCCUCAGAAUUUAACUAACUUGAAAUGUUUUCUCUUAAGGAUUAUUUGUGAUAUUUACAUUUUUAGAAUGUGCUGGUUUUUAUUUUGGGCCAAAGAAAAACAAAUAAAAAUAAUCUGAAGUUGUCCUAGUUGUAUUUUUAAGUUAUUUUGCCAUCAUUUUUCAUAUCCGGCCCCACCUAGGAAUAGAUUUUCUUCCACGCGGCCCCUGAGCUAAAAUGAGUUUGACACCCCUGGCCUUCCGUCCGAUUGUAGCUGAGAUAGGCGCCAGCGCCCCCCCGUGACCUCAAUAGGGAAUAAGCGGUAGAAAA